GACGAACGCUGGCGGCGUGCUUAACACAUGCAAGUCGAACGGAAAGGCCCUGCUUGCAGGGUACUCGAGUGGCGAACGGGUGAGUAACACGUGGGUGAUCUGCCCUGCACUUCGGGAUAAGCCUGGGAAACUGGGUCUAAUACCGGAUAGGAGCCAUUUUUAGUGUGAUGGUUGGAAAGUUUUUUCGGUGUAGGAUGAGCUUGCGGCCUAUCAGCUUGCUGGUGGGGUAAUGGCCUACUAAGGCGGCGUCGGGAAGCCGGCCUGCGAGGGUGGCCGGCCACUGUGGAAUGAGGGAAGGACCAGAACGCCACAGGGGGCAAGGGGGGGGAAAUUGGCCCAACGGGGCGGAGCCCGUGAGGACGGCCCCCGGUUGGGGAAGAACGCCUUUCGGGUUAAAACCUCCUUUCACGGGGAACGAAACUUUUGGAAGGGAACCAAUAAAAAAGCCACGGCUAAACAAGUG
rnacentral:rRNA from 1 species